rnacentral:rRNA from 1 species
UCUAGUCUGCUCAAUGAUGAAUUAAAUAGCUGCAGUAUUUUGACUGUACAAAGGUAGCAUAAUCAUUAGUUUUUUAAUUGAAAGCUUGUAUGAAUGGCUGAAUGAGAAAAAAACUGUCUAUUUUAUAAUUUUAAAGAAUUUUAUUUUUAAGUUAAAAAGCUUAAAUUUUAAUAAAAGACGAGAAGACCCUAUAGAGUUUAAUUAUUUAUAUUUUUUAGUUAAAAUUUAAGGUUAUUUAUUUUUAUAAAAUUUAGAAUAAUUUAAUUGGGGUGAUAGUAAAAUUUAAUAAACUUUUAAUAAUUAAUUACAUUUAUUUAUGAAUUGUUGAUCCAUAGCUUAUGAUUAAUAGAAUAAAUUACCUUAGGGAUAACAGCGUAAUUUUUUUGGAGAGAUCUUAUUGAUAAAAAAGAUUGCGACCUCGAUGUUGGAUUAAAAUUAACUAUUGGCGCAGAAGUUAAUGGGUUGGGUCUGUUCGACCUUUAAAAUUUUACGUGAUCUGA